AAGAAACCUCAAGGGGGGUCUCUGAGAUUAUCCCAAAAACUCUAUACUGCCAUCUUGCUCCUCUCGUUCUAGCUGGCCCAGUAGCAGAAAAAAUCAAGCAACUUUUUGACUUCCAGCAGAGGAGAGAUAAGCAAUUGAGAAUUUCAUCUAAGUGCGGUUGGCUUUCAGCAUUGGAAGUCCUAGUGCUUGUGUUGGUGCUGUCAGAUUGGAAUUUCUGGACGCUAGUGGGAGAACUAUCCAGACCAAUUGGACAGGUCCCUCCAAGCAAUACUGAUAGAAGCAUUCUUCCAUGGCUGUAUGUGAAGUAGGAAACAAGAUUGAAAAUCUUGAUGUUUCACAAACCAGGAAGGAAAAUGCAUCAGUUCAGAUAAAGGUUUUGUUUUUCGCCAGGGCCAGAGAUCUGACUGGCUUAAGUGACAUGCAAUUUGAAGUUUCAUCUGGUAGUACUGCCUCUGAUUGCUUAGAUAAAGUCAUUGCCAAAUUCCCUGGUUUAAAAGAGAUCCGAGGAUGUAUGGUCCUGGCUCUCAAUGAAGAGUACAUUGAAGAGUCUGUUAUUGUCAAAGAUAGAGAUGAAUUGGCCAUCAUUCCUCCCAUAAGCGGUGGGUAACUAUUCUAGUACAGCCGUUAUGUUUGCAAGUGUCUAAAUAAAUGUUGAAUACAGGCCAUUCCGUGUAACCCUAUGUUGAGUAAUAUUUCAAUGUUUUUGUGUAAUUUGAGAUAAUUCAAUAAUUGGAUCUGUAGAUUUUUAUGGACAUUGUCUCACAACAGUCCUUUAUGGUCAUUUUCCAUUACUUAUCAGAUGGGGGGCCUUUUGACUAGCAAUUUUACUGCAUAGCUUUUUCCCCCUCUUGAAUUUGGUAAAGUUGGACCAAAUUUGUCUAUAAGGAGGUGACAUCUUAUUGUGCAA